UGGUCGUCCUGGAUGUCCACUCGAAUUGCGGCUAAUACAGAUUGGUUUACACUUUCUGAAGCAUUUGGUUGCGUUUUUACAAGCUGCUACGAACUCUCGGACUUGAACUACCAUUUUCGGCCAGUAAAACAUAUGUUGGAGUCUCGCUAAGGUCUUUCCCAUACCUCCGUGCAUUGCCAUGUUGCAGCAGUGAGCUUGCUGGAUUAAAGUUGUCGUCAGAGCUUUAGGAACCCAUAGUUUCCAUUCGAACUCGUCGCUUUCUUCUUUUUUAAACUGUGUCUUCUUGAAGAGAAGUCCUUCUUCCACACAUAUUCGGGACUUUCAAACUCCGUUGUCUCAAAGUUGAAGAACUCCAUUUCGGCUACCUCAUUCGGUCGGGAUAAAAUGUCCGCCACGACGUUAUUUUUUUUUAAACGCGCGUAGUCCCACGGCCCAC